CAGCCCCCAGACCCAGAAGGUGUGGUUCAAGCAUUACCUUGUCCUUACCCCUCUGCUGCUACAACACUGCCAGCUGGGCAAAGCUGGUUCUCAGUGGUUAUCAUCAUGGACUUCUAUUGCAUUACAAAGAAGACGCCUCUGCCAGAGUCAUGGAGAAGAAAAUUUACUGAAGGACUAAUAGUGUAAGUCAGGGCAGACACUGUUUGACUAACAGCCUACAGAGCACAAAGCAAAAGGGAAAAGGACACUGGGUGUCCUGCAGAAAUGGUGGUGCCUUGCUAUUUCACAGAUAGAAGCAGGUGAUGCAAAAUAUAUUGUGUUUCAAGAACACACAAAAAACCUACAUGGACAAUUUUGUUUGUGGGCACAUUGCAGAAAGUUUUGGAGAGACAAAUAUAUGUAUAUAUUUAUGGCAUAUUACAGAAGUAUAAAUCACAA